rnacentral:rRNA from 1 species
UACGUAGGUGGCAAGCGUUGUCCGGAUUUACUGGGCGUAAAGAGCGCGCAGGCGGUCGUUCAAGUCGCGUGUGAAAGCCCCCGGCUCAACUGGGGAGGGUCACGCGAUACUGAUCGACUCGAAGGCAGGAGAGGGUAGUGGAAUUCCCGGUGUAGUGGUGAAAUGCGUAGAUAUCGGGAGGAACACCAGCGGCGAAGGCGACUACCUGGCCUGUUCUUGACGCUGAGGCGCGAAAGCUAGGGGAGCAAACGGG